ACGGGUGCGUAACGCGUAUGCAACCUACCUUAAUCAGGGGGAUAGCCCGAAGAAAUUCGGAUUAACACCGCAUAAAAACACAGGAUAGCAUUAUCCAAUGUUCAAAUAUUUAUAGGAUUAAGAUGGGCAUGCGUGUCAUUAGCUAGUUGGCGGGGUAACGGCCCACCAAGGCGACGAUGACUAGGGGAUCUGAGAGGAUGACCCCCCACACUGGUACUGAGACACGGACCAAACUCAAACGGGAGGCAGCAGUAAGGAAUAUUGGUCAAUGGAGGGAACUCUGAACCAGCCAUGCCGCGUGCAGGAAGACAGCCCUCUGGGUCGUAAACUGCUUUUAUUCGGGAAUAAACCUAUCUACGUGUAGAUAGCUGAAUGUACCGAAGGAAUAAGGAUCGGCUAACUCCGUGCCAGCAGCCGCGGUAAUACGGAGGAUCCAAGCGUUAUCCGGAUUUAUUGGGUUUAAAGGGUGCGUAGGCGGCCUGUUAAGUCAGGGGUGAAAGACGGUAGCUCAACUAUCGCAGUGCCCUUGAUACUGACGGGCUUGAAUACACUAGAGGUAGGCGGAAUGUGACAAGUAGCGGU
rnacentral:rRNA from 1 species